AUACUUACCUGGAUGGGGUCUAUGGGCGAUCAUUAAGGUCCAUGGCCUAAGUUGGCAACCUCCAUUGCACAUUGGAGGGGUGCCCACUUAAGGUCUCCCUACAUGGGAGAGCCUACAUCAUAAUUUGUGGCAGAGGGGCCUGCGUUCGCGCGGCCUCUAC